UACAGAGGGUGCGAGCGUUAAUCGGAAUUACUGGGCGUAAAGCGCGUGUAGGCGGCCCUGCAAGUCGGGUGUGAAAUCCCAUGGCUCAACCAUGGAAGUGCACUCGAAACUGCAGGGCUAGAGUCCUGGAGGGGAAGGUGGAAUGCUUGGUGUAGAGGUGAAAUUCGUAGAUAUCAAGCGGAACACCGGUGGCGAAGGCGGCCUUCUGGACAGUGACUGACGCUGAGACGCGAAAGCGUGGGGAGCAAACAGG
rnacentral:rRNA from 1 species